rnacentral:lncRNA from 1 species
AACUUUGUCCGAAGCGCGGCCCGGGGACUGGGAGCGCAGGGCAGGGAGCUCCCUCUGCGGGAGCGCGGAGGCGCUCCUACUUUCUCCGCACGUCACGGGGGCCGCUCAGCGCUCUCCCACCCCGGGCCGGGCGAGAGCGGCUCCCCAGCAGGGCGACGGAGGAGCGCGGCGAGAGCGAGCCGCCGCGGAGAGCCUGGGAACCCAGAGCGCAACCCUCGGCCCCCGCCGGGGCGGCCUCCGCAGCCGCACGGACCCCGCGUUCGGGGCUGGCCCGCUCCCUCUCAAUGAAGAUAUUCAAAUGUUAUUUUAAACAUACCCUACAGCAGAAAGUUUUCAUCCUGUUUUUAACCCUAUGGCUGCUCUCUUUGUUAAAGCUUCUAAAUGUGAGACGACUCUUUCCGCAAAAAGACAUUUACUUGGUUGAGUACUCCCUAAGUACCUCGCCUUUUGUAAGAAACAGAUACACUCAUGUUAAGGAUGAAGUCAGGUAUGAAGUUAACUGUUCGGGUAUCUAUGAACAGGAGCCUUUGGAAAUUGGAAAGAGUCUGGAAAUAAGAAGAAGGGACAUCAUUGACUUGGAGGAUGAUGAUGUUGUGGCAAUGACCAGUGAUUGUGACAUUUAUCAGACUCUAAGAGGUUAUGCUCAAAAGCUUGUCUCAAAGGAGGAGAAAAGCUUCCCAAUAGCCUAUUCUUUGGUUGUCCACAAAGAUGCAAUUAUGGUUGAAAGGCUUAUCCAUGCUAUAUACAACCAGCACAAUAUUUACUGCAUCCAUUAUGAUCGUAAGGCACCUGAUACCUUCAAAGUUGCCAUGAACAAUUUAGCUAAGUGCUUCUCCAAUAUUUUCAUUGCUUCCAAAUUAGAGGCUGUGGAAUAUGCCCACAUUUCCAGACUCCAGGCUGAUUUAAAUUGCUUGUCGGACCUUCUGAAGUCUUCAAUCCAGUGGAAAUAUGUUAUCAACUUGUGUGGGCAAGAUUUUCCCCUGAAGUCAAAUUUUGAAUUGGUGUCAGAGUUGAAAAAACUCAAUGGAGCAAAUAUGUUGGAGACGGUGAAACCCCCAAACAGUAAAUUGGAAAGAUUCACUUACCAUCAUGAACUUAGACGGGUGCCUUAUGAAUAUGUGAAGCUACCAAUAAGGACAAACAUCUCCAAGGAAGCACCCCCCCAUAACAUUCAGAUAUUUGUUGGCAGUGCUUAUUUUGUUUUAAGUCAAGCAUUUGUUAAAUAUAUUUUCAACAACUCCAUCGUUCAAGACUUUUUUGCCUGGUCUAAAGACACAUACUCUCCUGAUGAGCACUUUUGGGCUACCUUGAUUCGGGUUCCAGGAAUACCUGGGGAGAUUUCCAGAUCAGCCCAGGAUGUGUCUGAUCUGCAGAGUAAGACUCGCCUUGUCAAGUGGAAUUACUAUGAAGGCUUUUUCUAUCCCAGUUGUACUGGAUCUCACCUUCGAAGCGUGUGUAUUUAUGGAGCUGCAGAAUUAAGGUGGCUUAUCAAAGAUGGACAUUGGUUUGCUAAUAAAUUUGAUUCUAAGGUGGACCCUAUCUUGAUUAAAUGCUUGGCAGAAAAGCUUGAAGAACAGCAGAGAGACUGGAUCACUUUGCCCUCAGAAAAGUUAUUUAUGGAUAGAAAUCUCACUACCACAUCAUGAUAGUAAAAUCAGGAUGGAAAUAAGAGGGUGCCUGAUAAAUGGAGUCAGUGUGGAAUUGAAUACCAUACUAUGCCCAAUACUGUUUAAACUCAGUCCUCCCAUAUUUUAAAAGGUGUCCAAAAUUCCAUACACAAGGGAAAGUGAUCUAGCCUUUGAUGUUAUUAGCCUGCAGUUGGCUAGGUUUUUUUAAUAUUUGUUUUUGCUUGUAAUCUCACUGAGCCAAAUCAGAGAUCUUAAACAUUCAGUCAGUCAUCAAACAUUAUUGAGCACCUAACUAUAUGACAGGCACUUUUUUAGAGACUGCGGCUUAUCCUCAUCAUAGCAACCUCGGUAUCUUUAAGUUCUCCACAUAACAGUCAGGAUUCUACUGAAGAAGCUUUUGAAGUUUGUGGUAAUCGUCUGAUCAUAUAAACCACCCAUUUCAGAGUAGUGUUUAAGUACUGUGACCAACACUCCACUUGUCUCUUAACUCAGCUUUCAAGACAUUUCUUAACCAUCAGAGCAGAGGAGGAAAGACUCACUACCUCAGAAAAAUCUCAAAGAAUAGUCCAAUUUCCUGCUUGCCAAAGCAUAAUCUGCCUUUUGGUGCAUUACUUGGUCAAUUCAGGGUUGAGGAGACUGUUGGGGGGCAUUUAUAAUGUAUGAAAGUUAAGGAAGGGGGUGAGGAUGUGGGUUGGGACAGGUAGUACCUAAAGAGGAGCGAAGGGAUUUAUACAACAUUUUUAUCAUGUUACAAAACAGUAUCAUGAAUGGCCUCCUUUUUAGUUCAACUGUUUCUUUAAAAUGCAUUUACUGAUUAAAAAUAAGAACUGACCAAUAGCUCCAAGUGUCACACACCAGAACAUUAAGCCUAAGUCCUCAAUUCAUAAGUUAUCAUUCUAGAUAAGUUUCUUUACAAUGGAAUACUUUCUGUGGAAUCAUUAUAAUUCUGUUGUAUGGAACUAUCAAGCUAAGAGUCACUAAACUUUCUUCAAAAGGUUGUGUGAAAUAUGACAGCUUUCUAAAUUAAUUUGUAUAGUCAUUUAAAAUUUUUUCUUCUCUGGCAACUGUCCAACUGGAAUCCAGAUUUAAAGUGAUAAAAGCUCUAAGUUUCUUGCAGUCUUUUUCUCAGCUUAGUUCCAGAGAGAAAAAAGCUAAUUUUCCUAAGGACACAGCAAGAAUAUUCAUUAAGGAUAUUUUCUAAAACCCACACUUGAGAAAACCACCCAAUGAGUCAAAAAUAUAUAUAUAUAAUAUAUAUUUUAUAUAUAUGUAAUAUAUAUUUAUGUUAUAUAUUAUAUAUAGAACAAUUCCAUUACAUAUAUAAUAUAUAAAUAUAUAUAUUAUAUAUACAUAUAUUGUAUAUGAAUAUAUAUUAUAUAUACAUAUAAUUAUAUAUAUAUAAAUAUAUAUUAUAUAACAUAUAAUGAAUAUAUAUUAUAUAUAUAAUGGAAUUGUUCUGGAAGUAAAAUGGGGUAGGAAUGGGGUUCUGAGAAUAGGCAAUAACAUUUUCACCAGUCUCUUGGGAAAUUGUAGAACUCAUGUAAAAAUUUCUUGGUCAUGAUAUGUCUCAAUGGCAGCCUCAGUAAAUAAAAAUGUAGCCUCAGAUAUUAUAUUUAAAGAUGUAGUAAAUCUAGCCCAAAAUAGGACAAUUUGGAAGAUUUAAGUAUUACAUAUUUUUUAAAUGUCUGUGUUCUAAAUGUGAAAUGCACUUUGCUCAUUUUAAAGUUCAUAAUACUAACUGCCAACUGACACCACUUCUCGCUCCCUUUCUUCUCUUGAACUCAUUUUUCUCCCUUUUUAUUUACCCCCUUCAAAUUACUUCAUUCUUUGGAAAUAACUAUUACCAAGCCCCAUUCUUCAAAAUAAGUAAACAUUGUAUAGAGCCAAGUUCUGCAAAAGAUCCAUACCAGUUCACUCGUGUGCGACUGUGGACAGGUAAGUCACUUUGGUCUCUAUGAACCUCAGUUUUCCAGAUCUUUGAAAUGAGCACUUGGAUGCCUAUCCUUGCUUCCACACAAGUGUUUUUUUUUUUUUUUUUUUUUUUUUGUGAGAAUCGAUUGAAAUAGUAUAUGAAGUGGUUUGAAAAUAGGUACAAACUAUUGACAUUUCAAUGUCAGAGAGUGAUACCUGUAGUAGUAUAGGCAAAGGUCCAACCCCAUCGAAAGGCUUAAACAUUUACCUUUUCUGAAAAACUAUUGAAAUAUAAAGAGAGUCCCCAGUCACAGGGGCAACUUCUGUAACCAAAUCCAGAUCUGAGGAAACUCCUGUAACCCCAUUUGGGGUUUCUUUCUAAGCCAAUAGGGUUACAGGUUGGUACAGUGACACAUUGAGAAUGGGGCUACAAAUACUUUUCCCACCAUCUAGGAUGAAAUACACGAAAUCCUGUUGAAAUCUUGGUUUUUAUGCCUUUGCUCAUCAGAAUAAACGUAAAUGCUGAAAAACAAAUAACCUCCUGAUCCACUGUCUUGCCUCCUGGUGAGAAAUGAUUCUAUCCCCUGUUUAUUGGGAAAUUUCCAAAGUUGUUCAUCACUUAAAUGCCGUAUUCAAAGGGAACAUGGAAGGAUGAAGCGGAGAAAGUGCCUUCGAGACAUUCACACAUUUCUCUGGACUCAGUCUGUUAACAUAUCAGGGAGCUUGUCAGAUCACACCUUUUUGCCUUGGAAAUCCUACAGAUUUCCUGUACGCCUUCAUAUCUGAUUCUUCCCUAAAACCUUUGGGUAUGAUUUCCUCCCUGGUCUUGAUAAUGUCCUGCAGUCUGUGUUUUAUAAUUAUUCUUUGUAUUUAUUGAAUCUAGACUUUAAGUUAUUCAGAGAUCAGACCAGAACCUUAGAGUUUCUAAACUGUAUGUGGAUAUUAAAUAAUAUUAAUAAUGAAAGAGCUACCAAAAUAGUCUAUAUUGUGUGAACAAUCUCUUGGGAUAUUAGACGUGUUUAAAGACCAGUGUUGCUGCUAUUUUUAAUAUUUUGGUUAAUUUAAGUGAAAUGUACAUAUUUUAAUUUGAAGAUUUAUCUUGCCCAUCAGAAUGUGAAGAUAUACUUGCAUAUAUUUUGACAUAUUUCAUGGAAAAUAAAAAUGAUAAUCCACUUUGUGAGUGUAAGUGAAUGUAUUCAUAUGUAUGUUAUUAUAAAUGAUUUUUGUUUGCACUGAUGAUGAAAUGAGAGUUUUGGGGGCUUUUUAUACAUUUAUAUCGACUGGUCUCUAAAUCUCCUAUUUUGUUUUCUUAUCAUUUUUGAAAUACAGUUCCCAUUACAUGAGUUUUAAAUAGAUUGGUGUUUCAUUUUGUAUUAUGCUACUACUAGAUGUUGAUUCUCUGGUAUUGUAAAAUAAAAUGUGCUCCAAAAACCCAAACCCUUGGACUUUAUGAGCUUUCCUUUCUCUGGUUUUGCUGAUUCCCCACAAAGAUUCUUUCAGUUUAUGGCACUUGCCCCUUAUUUAAAGAGCAG